rnacentral:rRNA from 1 species
GACGAACGCUGGCGGCGUGCUUAACACAUGCCAGUCGAACGGAAAGGCCCUGCUUUUGUGGGGUGCUCGAGUGGCGAACGGGUGAGUAACACGUGAGUAACCUGCCCUUGACUUUGGGAUAACUUCAGGAAACUGGGGCUAAUACCGGAUAGGAGCUCCUGCUGCAUGGUGGGGGUUGGAAAGUUUCGGCGGUUGGGGAUGGACUCGCGGCUUAUCAGCUUGUUGGUGGGGUAGUGGCUUACCAAGGCUUUGACGGGUAGCCGGCCGGAGAGGGUGACCGGCCAGAUUGGGACUGAGAUACGGCCCAGACUGCUGGGGGAGGCAGCAGUGGGGAAUAGUGCACAAUGGGCGGAAGCCUGAUGCAGCAACGCCGCGUGCGGGAUGACGGCCUUCGGGUUGUAAACCGCUUUCGCCUGUGACGAAGCGUGAGUGACGGUAAUGGGUAAAGAAGCACCGGCUAACUACGUG